AUUCCUCUACAACAUAUUUACAGUAAAAUGGGCAGGAAAUCUACAUGCUAUCUUCCUAACUAAAGCAGUACUCUGAGUGAUUCUUCCAUUCAACUUCUGGCCAAACGAUCUUUAGAAUCCAUGGUAUGCUUUGACCAUGGACAUAGCCAAUACAUGCCAAACCACUUAAAUCACUGUGUCACUGUUAUGUUCUUAUAUAAUUUAUUCUCUGCUUGAUCAUUUGCAAUUUGCUUGCGAUUUUGCACACAGCAAAGGACCUACAUGAUGUACAUGUACAAAAGCAUUUAAUAAAUUGCUUAUGGGGCCUCUCAUCCAAUCAAAUGUCCAAUAGACGGUCAUAACUUUUGCCAAUUACUUCCACAAUCUUCAAGAUCCAAAAUGACCUAUUGGAACUCUUUGGUCAAUAAAGAAGUUGACUUUAGUUUUGGAUGAUGUACAAGUACCUAUUUUCUCAAAAUACUUUGAGAGUAUAGCAGAUCAUCAAAUUGUGAAACUUAGCGAUCCAGCAUCUUUGAUAGGAAUGUUUCGCAUAAACGAAGGCUUGUAAUUUCUUUGUGCACAUUUUUCAUUUUCCAUAACAAUCCACGUCAGAAACUAUUAUGGUGCUGAAGAGGCUUAUUUCUGUUGAAGGACUGUAAGAGCACUGUCACUCAAGGUUUAAUAUCAGUUUCAAAUAAAAAUGGCAAAGGUUGUCAUAUUCGGAAACAAUGCAUUUCAACCAAUGCGGCAUCAGGCAUGUAAAGCUUCUAUGGCCAAGUAGGAUUGCUUCAUUCUCAUGCCCAUUGGAGGUGGCAAAAGUUUGUGUUACCAGCUUAGUGAAUGUUAACAUUAUUUCAUUUGUGUAAUGAUUGAAUGUAGAAGUAUGUGUGGAGACAAUGUUUAGACCACAAGCCCUGUGCACUUUGCUCAAUGGUUCCACUGAUGAAAUACUAGACAGGUAGGCCUGUGUAUUGAAAUUUAAGCAUUAAAAUGAUCUUGGAAUCUGCUUUGCUAGAACUGUUGCGAAGUUUGUGCUUAAACUUAAGGAUGAAAAUGUUUUCCAAAUGCAAAUUAAGCUAUAGGAAGUGAUUCAGGUAUAGAACCAUGGGUUCCAAUGUACAGGAUCUGACUAAGUUGGAAAAGAAUAUUAUACUGGACAUUCUUGUUCUGCCUUCGCAUAUUUCAAUCUAUUCUGUGAUUUCUAGAAUUUGAGGUUGUCGUUAGUCAUAGUUCAGGUCCAAUUCAAAAGGGUUAUUAAGUCAGAGGAAUAAGGUUUCCAAUUACUUGCACCAAAUUCAGAUUGUAGAUGUCUAUAUUUUAUUGCUGGUAUGUGCUAGGUCAUCAUCUCAACUGGGGUGAUCAUGUAAGAUGGAUAUUGGUUGCAUGCAAAAUAUUUGAUCUACUGAAUCACGAAGGAAGAUAUUAAUCUGAGUUUAUUAAGUUGAGUUUUAUUGAAGUAUUUUCUGUUGAGUCUUGAAGUAGUUGAUAUAUGUUUCUAGCUGAAGUAAAUAGAAGACAAAUAGUGACAACUGGUGCUUUCUGAUCAGCUGAAGGUGAAUAAAAAGAUAACUCCCUCAUCCCAUCCUUUCUUCAUGUGCUCUUCUGAUGUUUUUACCCUUCAUUUCAGCUACCAGCAACUCUUAACCAGGUGUCACAGUCGUUAUAUGUCCCCUGCUAUCUAUCAUCCAGGACCAAAUUAUUACUCUAGCCCUCCAUAUGUUGCAAUGGAUGCACAUUUUUUAUGUAGUUAAUGAAAAAAUUCAUUCCUAAGAUGCCUUAAAAAUAAAUUUUAAAAUCUUAGUGUUCCUAGAGAAGUAUAUCAUACCAUACAAUCAUCAUUUUGCCAUAAAAUGUUGGGCUAUAAUUGUUGCUGUGAGGUUUCUAUUAGAUUUCUAAGACUUUUUUUUGCUGAUUGUUGUGAUUAUCAAGUCAUUAAUCUCCACUGCUUUGCCUGCCUUUUCAGGAAAGUUAAUCCAUCGUGCAAGCUAUUGUAUGUAACUCCUGAAAGGAUUGUGGGAAACCCAUCAUUUAUUGAGAUAUUGAAAUGCUUGCAUAGAAAGUCCAUGAGGACGUGAAUUUUGUCCAAAUUAUAGAGGAUUGGAAUGUCUCAGGAAAAACUUUUCAUACGUCCCAGUGAUGGCCUUAACUGUCACUGCCACUUGUUCAUGAGCAUUUUGUCAUCUACAACACAAUGUCAAAGUCAAUCGAAAGCUAUUACCAGGAAUCAGGGAGGGCAGGAGGAGAUCUACUAGCAAUUUUUCCACUCAACUUUUGGCCAGAUGAUCUUUAGAAUCCAUGGCACAGCUAGCUGGUUUUGUUAUUGAUGAGGCACAUUAGUGAGUCUAUGGGGACAGGAAUUUCGUCCAGAUUACAGACUGGUAUGUCUCGAGCCUAACUUUGCACGUGACCCAAUGAUGGCCUUAGCUGAAACUACCACUCCCUCAGUUCAUGAGGAUAUCCUAAAAUCUCUUGGGAUUCUCCAUGCUCUUGUUCUUGAGACAAGCUUCGACAGACUAAAUCUUAAAUAUGAGGUCAUAGCUAAGACCAAGGAACCACUGAAGCAGCUUGGAUAGCUGCUAAAGAAACGUUUUGCUAAUUUUUGUGGCAUAGUAUAUUGCCUUUCAAAGAGUGAAUGCGUUGAUGUCGCAAAAUACUUGAAUAAGAAGUUAUGUAUAAAGACAGUGUACUAUCAUGUUGGAUUAGUAGCUCGCCAAAAGGGUAGCUGUUCAAAAGAAAUGGUAAACUGAAGAGGUCCAAAUUGUAUGUUAUAGAAAGAAAUGGCAUACUAUCAUUCUCGUGUUAUUGACUAGCUAUAUUAUAAAUUAUAUAAUCAAUACAUUGACUUUACUAGCAA